GUUUUCUGCUACGACUGGUCAACGUUUCUCCUUCGGCUGUGAAGUUUGUUCUCCUGCGCCUACCGUAGUUGUAGUAACAAACAUGGCGUCCGACAGUGACAGCGACGAGGAUUUUGUGAGUUACGGGACUCCUUUGGAGCCGCUGGAAGAAGACGAGCCGUUGAAGAAGCCGGUCCCGCUGCACGAGCAGACGGUGAAGGAUGAGAAGGGACGGUAUCAGAGGUUCCACGGGGCGUUCACUGGAGGGUUUUCGGCCGGUUAUUUCAACACUGUCGGCACUAAAGAAGGCUGGGCCCCGUCAACCUUUGUGUCAUCACGGCAACAGAAAGCGGACAAACUUCAUGCCAGACCAGAAGACUUCAUGGACGAGGAGGACCUCGGCGAGCACGGCAUCGCUCCCAGAGAGAUCACCACCAGCCAGGAGUUCUCGUCCAGUCGCAGAGACAAGGCCAGUGAGAAGGCGAGAGCCGUCAGCGCUCAGGCGGCGCUGAUCCCCGGAGACACUCUGCUGGAGGAGCUGAUCGCACCUGCCAGGUUGUCCAUAGGGGUGGAGCUGCUGAGGAGGAUGGGCUGGAAGGAAGGUCAGGGUGUCGGCCCUCGUGUGAAGAGGAAAGCUCGCCGACAGCAGACGGAUGGAGGUAGCAGAGUUUACGCCUGUGUGCUGCCCCCCGCUGGAUCAGAGGACUCACAGGACGAAGACGAUGAGGAGUUUGCUCCAGAGAACGUGACCUUUGCCCCGAAGGACGUGACUCCGGUGGACUUCAACCCCAGGCUGGGGGUUCAGGGUCUGGGGUACCGCGGCCUGGACCCCAGCCUGGCGCUGCAGGGCCGAGGAGCGCCCGAACACAUCAACCUGUUCAAGCCGCAGUCCGAGACCAGGAGCCGACUGUUCGGAGACGCGCAGGGAGGCCAGCGGAGAGGGGGCGUGGCGGGACAGGCGUUCGGGGUGGGCGCCCUGGAGGACGACGACGAAGACAUUUACCACAGAGACUCCAUGUCCAGGUACGACACGGAGCUGGGAGGAGAGGAGCCCGGAGACGGCCUGUACGGCUGGACGGCCCCACAGCAGUACACCAAGAAGAGAGACAAAAGCAAAGAUGCGUCGUACCUCGGCAAAAUCCUGGAGGGAUUCACUCUGGCUCAAAAACCGUCUGAGGAGAAAACGAUCUUCCCUCCGCCCUCUCUGCCCAGAGACUAUCGCCCCGUCCAUCGUUUCCGUCCUUCAGUCGAUGUUUCGCAUCUUUCCGGGGUCAGUCCUGCGCUGGCAGAGGCUCUGAGGGCCUCCAGGGGCCACAUGGUUAAAGAGGAGCCCCAACAAGGAGGACGCCACCAGCUGGACUCCGGCCAGAGGGGGGCGCUGCUGGGAGAAGACACCCUGCAAGGUCCCAGUUCAGUCAUGGAGCUGCUGAAGGCUGAAGACAGGGAGCGACUGCUCAACCUCCGCAACUCCACCAACGUGCUCUCCACCAAAACCACCACCAACCCCCCGCACUCCCAUGACGCCCCGCGGUCGUCGGGCAGGUGGGCCGCGACGUCCGCGCCCGCCUCCGGCCUCGAGCAGGAGGCUCUGGCCGUGUGGAAGGGCGUCCAGACCUCCUCACAGACCUUCAGACCGUUUGAGAAGAACCCCAGCAAACAGGCGCGCUACGAGCAGUACUUGAGCCGCCUGAAGCAGGGAGACAAAGACGCCCUGGAGCAGAGUCUGGACCCGGCGGUGACGGAGUGGGAGCGCAGCAGGGAGAGGGAGGAGUUCGCCCGAGCCUCCAUCCUGUACAGACCCACCUCCUCCUCGCUCUCCUCCCGCUUCACCAGCGCCAAACAGCAGGAGGAUGACGACAGCGUGGAGGUCAAGCGUGACGAGGAGGGCGACGUGGACGACAAACAGGCUGCCGUCAAUAUGAAGAUGUUCGGGAAACUGACCAGAGAAACGUUCGAGUGGCAUCCGGACAAACUGCUCUGCAAGAGGUUCAACGUGCCCCACCCCUACCCCGGGUCGAGCAUGGUGGGACUGCCCAAAGUGAAGAGAGACAAGUUUUCAGUCUUCAACUUCCUGACUGUGACGGAGAGCAGAGAACCUUCAGCUCCUCCAAAGCCUCCGGGGGCUGGGAAGAGGUCUCGGUGGGACGUUUCAGACCAGGAGGGGGAGAAGAAGAACGACCCCCUUAGUGAGCUGCUCAGCGCUGCACGAAACCAAAGCGAGGUCAAACUGGAACAAACCUCCGUACCUGCUUUACCUGCGUCCACCAGCACCGACGAUCAGACCCCACCCGGCAGAGCGGAGGAGACAAAGUCAGCAGGUCGGCCGAGCUCAGACGAGAAGAAAGGAGGUGACGAAGACCAGGAGGAGGAGGAGGAGGAGGAAGAGGAGGAGAGCCGGCCUCACAUGGAUCUGUUCAAAGCCAUCUUCGCCGGCUCCUCUGAUGAGAAAUCCUCCUCUUCAUCCGAAGGAGAGAGCGACGAUGAGGAGGCCGUGAAGGAGGAGGAGCUCAAAGUCGAGCCGCAGCCGCUGAAUCUCUUCAACAUCACCUCCUCCGCCGUCACCUCCUCCACCACCACCGCGUCCGGCCAGCAGGCGGCGGCGGUUUCAUCUCAGAACUCGACUCAAGAACAAGAAGAAGAAGAGUUUGGUCCGAAGCUGCCGCCUCCUUCAGCUGCUCUCAUGAGAGGAGGCGCCACCUCCGCCUGCUCCCCCCGUGAGGAGGAGAAACUCAACAAGAGGAGCAGAGAGAAGAAACACAAGAACAAGAAGCAGCACAAACACAAGAAGGAGAAGAAGAAGAAGAAACAUAAGAAGCACAAACACAAAGGGAAACAGCAGAAGAAAAGUAAGAAGGAGGCGUCGGACAGCAGCUCAGAGGACAGUGAUGAGGACAGCGACGGCGAACGCGUGUCGACAGAGGAGCUGCUGAAAAGGUUCUGUGAAGCAGGAUUAUGAAUUCAGUCAGCUCCUCAUUCAGACCUUUAAUCUGAAGGAUACAUGAACAGCAGGAAGUGGGACACAAAGCCGAGAGAGUUUAUUACCAGCGUUAUUAUUUUUACUCAAGACUGAAAAAGGUCCAAUCCCAUCAGACCUGGUGAGGAACCAGGAAGUGUGUCCUCUGUGAGGACGAACAACCCGAAAAUCACACAACAGAGUUGACCUCCGGUCUUCUUUAAUUUUACACAACAGACAACCUGUUGUUUUGUUCAUUUAAAUAAUAAAAUGUCCCUCGUUUAACGUU